rnacentral:rRNA from 1 species
CCUACGGUAGGCAGCAGUGGGGAAUAUUGCACAAUGGGGGAAACCCUGAUGCAGCGACGCCGCGUGAGUGAAGAAGUCUUUCUGUAUGUAAAGCUCUAUCAGCAGGGAAGAAGAAAGACGUUACCUUACUAAUCUGCCCCGGCUAACUACGUGCCAGCAGCCUCGGUCAUACGUAGGGGGCAAGCGUUAUCCGGAUUUACUGGGUGUAAAGGGAGCGUAGACGGGUGUGCAAGUCUGAAGUGAAAGCCCAGGGCUCAACCCUGGGACUGCUUUGGAAACUGUGGAGCUAGAGUGCUGGAGAGGUAAGUGGAAUGUCUAGUGUAGCGGUGAAAUGCGUAGAGAUUAGGCGGAACACCAGUGGCGAAGGCGGCUUACUGGACAGUAACUGACGUUGAGGCUCGAAAGCGUGGGGAGCAAACAGGAUUAGAUACCCCAGUAGUC